UAUAUUUGUGACCGGCUUUGCAUCUACUACCGGAAUAUUACAUUUUCAUUGGUAAGUAAAUUUCCUCUUUUUUUCGGUCACACGCGAUUACAAGUGGCUCUUCGGUCGUUGCACAUGACCAUUGGUUUUUCAAUUGUAAUUUGUCGAACAAGGUUGUUUCCAAUUGCAAGUACAUCGUCUCACAAUUUUCCGGUCAAAACUACAAUUGAUAAUAGCAGAUUUUGAGUUUACCAAUGUCAACGGAAAAGAUAUUUUAUUAGUAUCUGGAGCUUUAUCAAAUAGCCUAGACAAAUUCAAAGUGGUCAAAUUAGUAGGAAGACCGUUAAUAUUGGCAAAGGAGAAAAACUAAGGGUAUUUUAAAGGGCAAACCUACCAAAAGUAAAGGGUAGUAUAAGAAGAAUUUUUCGGAAUGAACCGGAAAAACGGAUACCACUUUUAAACGAACUAAGAGAAAGUGUUUACAAUAAGGGAAUCAACACCUUAUCGACGGUGUUUAUCCAAGGAUAUUUGCAUAAGGACAAUAGAUCACCUAUAUUGGUUUUCUGGAAUGGUAAUAAAGAUCAAAAUAUAAUGGAAAGGCUAAGAUUGCCCAAUAUAAAACUUAUGCUUAACCGCGUACGACGAGGAGAACAACGGGAUAUUCUACUUAAAACUAGCCAAUCUAUCUAAGGAAAACAAAGUGGUAUUAAUCAGUAUACCAAUGAGAAAAUAUGAGAACAACGGAAGAUUGUUAAAAAAUACCAAGUCACGGAAAUCAUACGAAUCAUGUUUAAAAUUAAAUAAAUAAUAGACCUUACUUUUGUUACAGGCUGCUAAUAACAGUGUCAAUCAGCAUCAAACUGAGCCAUUGCAAACAAUUUAACGACAUACAAAUCAACGAGAAUGUAUUUUGAAAACCAAGGACAAAUUAAAAUCAACACGGCGGAAUGGACAAUAGCUACCUUGACCUAAACCAUUUCGUAUCAAAACAAAUAUUGUUAAAUGAACAUUUAAAUCAAUCUCGGGAACUUUGUAUAAGUAGCUCAGACGCAGAACCGAUUUCAACAUCAAACUCAAACAUAACUUUAAAAACUGGUAAUCAGACUUCUUGUUGGGAAUUAUGGGAAAACUGGUAUGAAUUAGGCCAACAAAUAACUUCAUUCGCGGGAGAGGUGAUAUCAACAGACUUUGUGAGGGAGAAAACGGAUUUGUCUUCUUCCGUUUUAGAAAACGUAAUAUUUGUAAAAUUAAAUAAUAAUAUAGCUUUAAAGUAUAAUAAAUUAAUUGAUUAAAUUGAUAAACUUGAGUGAAUCAAAAUGAAAAUGGAAAAAGAACAAAUCAAAAUAAUUAAAAACAAAAUUAAAUAUAUCCAAAUUUUAGCUUAUAUUCUAAUAAUACCGAAAUGAUGUUAUUAAUUGAUAAUUUAAAAAAAACAAUUUUGAAAUAAAAAUGAUUCACCGGUAAGCAAUAAAUUCUUUUGGGCAAAGAUUUAC